rnacentral:rRNA from 1 species
CCUACGGGGUGCAGCAGUGGGGAAUAUUGGACAAUGGGCGAAAGCCUGAUCCAGCCAUGCCGCGUGUGUGAAGAAGGCCUUCGGGUUGUAAAGCACUUUCAGUGGGGAAGAAAGCCUUGGGGCUAAUACCCUCGAGGAAGGACAUCACCCACAGAAGAAGCACCGGCUAACUCCGUGCCAGCAGCCGCGGUGAAUACGGAGGGUGCGAGCGUUAAUCGGAAUUACUGGGCGUAAAGCGCGCGUAGGCGGUCUGAUAAGCCGGUUGUGAAAGCCCCGGGCUCAACCUGGGAACGGCAUCCGGAACUGUCAGGCUAGAGUGCAGGAGAGGAAGGUAGAAUUCCCGGUGUAGCGGUGAAAUGCGUAGAGAUCGGGAGGAAUACCAGUGGCGAAGGCGGCCUUCUGGACUGACACUGACGCUGAGGUGCGAAAGCGUGGGUAGCAAACAGGAUUAGAUACCCCAGUAGUC